CAAUGGUUUCCUCUGUAGCUGCACUGGGAGCUGCAGAUGUUGAAAUCAGGCCGAAGAGGUGUUUCUGACGGAGCAAACGCACAACCGCUGUCCGGAAAUUUCAGCUGCAAACACAAGAAAAAGCGAGACACAAAGCCAUGUGGUUUGUUGGGUCUCUUGGGGAGGGCUAGAAGACUUUAUGUGAGGCUGGAUGUUGAUGGUGUAUGGAGCAUCCUCCCGUCUCUGUCCCUCAGUCACGUGACCUCCAGACGUCUGGGUCUGAUAAAUCCCACUAAAUCAGAUGUCCUGCUCCUUCUGCAGUACAAAUAUGACAUCAUCAAAGAGCGACUUUAUAGAGAGAUGCUGCAGGAGGAACACGG
ensembl:lncRNA